AUCGAAUGUAUUCCAAUGAUAUUGUUUAUUUUUACGCAGUAUAUUUGCAAAAUGGUAACGAUGGCAUAGCUACGAUGUAAUUAUAAAAUGUUGCAAUGGCAACCAGUGCAACGAACUCACGAAUUGACCAGAAAUUUUCGAAAUGCUAUUGAGAAAUCACAUAUAAUAUACACAUAAUGAUAUUUUUCUUAAAUUAAGAAAUUUUUCACUGAAAGAAGCACUCGAUUGCGAUAAAAAAUGAAUUAAAGAAUGUAACAAGUCAUGACGAGGUUUCACGACAUCUGGCCAUGGCGCAAUGUAAGCUGCAUGGAAAUGGUAUUAUGUAAAAUCCGAGCAAAAAUUUCAACCACAGAGAAAAAGUUUUGUUGAGAACCUCGAGGAUACCUACUUACCUACGCUACCGAGGAAUUGGACACCGAUUAGUCACGAUCGAUCGUUCUCGAAUCGUCGUUGUCUUUUUUUUUUUCUUUCUUUUUCAUUCCUAGCGUGAAUUUAUCGAUAUUACAAUAUGGUGGCAAGUAUUUAUUUAUAAUUUAUUUACAUUUAUAUAAGCCUCUAGUUCUAGAAAUCUGACAUAGUGAAACAGUAACUAAGUGUAUCUAAUUCUUUCUAUUCCCAUACCGAUUCAUUCAAGAACGAUCGAGGAUAGGAUCGUGGAAGCGCGGUGUAAAUCAUUAGCAACAAUAUAGCGAUCGAUCAAGAGAAGUGACGUACAUGAAAAGAAGCCAGCGGCAAGUUGCAAUAGGGCCAAUUUCUCUUUAUCAAUGAUCGCCCUGCGGUUUUCUCCGUGGUCAUAGCGUAUGUGUAUACGUAACGUGGAAUACGUUUGGUGGUGUACAACUAGCCAACGCAUAAACUGUUGGUGCGUGUGCGUACAAGUUCAAGAACAAUGGCAGUUCACGAUCUGUAUAAUGUAUGUGGUAGGUAUACACGAUUUUACCAUGCGACGGUACUCGGCUCAUUGUGGUGGCGGUGGCGGCGGCGGUGGCAGCGGGCAGCUCUCGUGCCACUGACCCACAAACAUACUUACCUAUGUUAUACUAUGCUGCUGUAUACAUCGUUCUCCCGUUGUCGCUAUGCUUUAAUGCCCGUACACACCGCGUUUCCGCCUCUCGAAACACGCUUGUGUACGUCGUCCUUGGAAGAUUUAUUUGCGGACCUGAUUGCAAUCCUGAUGCUGGUUCGUGAAUUUUUCAUCCGAGCCUGCACCACCGUGAACUACCGAAAGUAACUGCGUGUCGGGCAACGAGGGCGGUAAUUUUAAUUAAUAUUACUGACAAUAUUUCGUAUGUUUAUGAUUAAAAAAUUGGAUUUGUUAAAAAAGAGUAACGUUGCCGGAUGUAUGAUACGAUUGUUUUACUUACGGUUUCAUUUUACUUAUGUCUGGCUAUUAAAAAGUUGCGUUUCCAGCUAAUCUUUGAUGAAGAUUAGAUUCGUAUCCUGCGACAUUCUCAACGUAGAUGUAUCCGCGUUGUACAUUUCACGCGCUUAUUUUUUUUCCUUUUUUUUUGAAUUUUAUUUUUGUUUUCACUUUCGCGAAUCGUUGUUACUUUAUCAUUGUGCUAUUUACUUUUAAAGAGCAAACACGCUUAAAUCUUCAUAGGAAUGUAUAAAAAAUACUAGAUAUUGAUAUUUCAAAUUAGAAGCUAAACUCUAUUAGUUUAAGAAGUUGUUUAAAUAAUUUGUUUAAAUAAUUUGUUACAGAGAAAAGAGAACAUUUAAUUGUGGCGAAUCCACGAAUUUAGAUCGUGUAAAAAUAAAUUUAUCCGUGAAAAGAAUGACAGGUAUCCGUGUAUAACUGUAUCCACAGAAAAUGGUUGCCGCGUGUAAUCCGCAACUACUUUACUCCCGCGUUUUACUCUCCAUCUCAAUUGUCCCACUUGGUAAACAGGACAAAACUGGAAGAGCAAGGCUGAAAUCCUGCACGGAGGCGGAGAGCGGGGCAACGAAAAAGAGGUAGCCGAUUCGCUCGACUUUUUGCCAUCAUCGUCAUGAAUACACGACGAGAAUCGUCACGAUGGAUAGCGGCAGGAAGCAACGGGAUGAAAGGAGAAAAUGAACAACCGGCUACGUUAAAAUCGUGAGCAACUAGGUCUUGACUUUGUGCUCCAAUUGACCAACCUGGAGAACAAAAGCCUCGUUUGAAAGCCUUUGAUAAAUCACGGGACCGAGCAUAAUCGUACAUGACACUGCCUCGAGAAGAAGAGAAAAGAUAUAUAUCGUUCUAUUUAUUAUCAAUUUUUAAAUACACAUGGAUAAUGCCAUUGGAUGAUGUAUCUAUUAAAAUUCUUUUUAUUACAGAGACAAUUCCACACUGUCGUUUAAAAAUAUUGGAACACACUUGUUUGAUUUUGAAAAGUGAUGGAGAGAUUCAGAAAAUAUCAGCAUGUAUCGCAUCAUAUGUACUCGUCAAAAAGAUGUAUUUAUAUCACUUUCAAACGGUUUGUCUUCCAUCGUGAUAAACUACAAAGUUUAUCCCGGUUAAUUCAGCCGGUCGAUUUUUUCUC